UACGUAGGGGGCAAGCGUUGUCCGGAUUUACUGGGCGUAAAGAGCGUGUAGGCGGCCACGCAGGUCCGUUGUGAAAACUGGAGGCUCAACCUUCAGACGUCGACGGAAACCGUAUGGCUAGAGUCCGGAAGAGGAGAGUGGAAUUCCUGGUGUAGCGGUGGAAUGCGCAGAUAUCAGGAAGAACACCGACGGCGAAGGCAGCUCGCUGGGACGGUACUGACGCUGAGGCGCGAAAGCGUGGGGAGCGAACAGG
rnacentral:rRNA from 1 species